GAUGAACGCUAGCGACAGGCCUAACACAUGCAAGUCGAGGGGUAGCGGGUUGUUAGCUUGCUAACAAUGCCGACGACCGGCGCACGGGUGAGUAACGCGUAUGCAACCUGCCUGUUACAGGGGGAUAGCCCGGAGAAAUUCGGAUUAAGCCGCCAUUAGAUUGGUUAUUGCAUGAUAACAAAUUGAAAGGAGACGGUAACAGAUGGGCAUGCGUUCCAUUAGCUUGUUGGCGAGGUAACGGCUCACCAAGGCAACGAUGGAUAGGGGAACUGAGAGGUUUAACCCCCACACUGGAACUGAGACACGGACCAGACUCCUACGGGAGGCAGCAGUGAGGAAUAUUGGUCAAUGGGCGAGAGCCUGAACCAGCCAAGUCGCGUGAAGGAUUACAGCCUUAUGGGUUUUAAACUUCUUUUAUUCAGGAGUAAAAAGGGAUAUGUAUAUCCCCUUGCAAGUACUGAAAGAAAAAGCAUCGGCUAACUCCGUGCCAGCAGCCGCAGUAAUAC
rnacentral:rRNA from 1 species